rnacentral:tRNA from 1 species
GGAGGAGUGGCAGAGUGGUCGAUUGCGCCGGUCUUGAAAACCGGUAGGCCCGUAAGGGUCUCCAGGGUUCGAAUCCCUGCUCCUCCG